rnacentral:tRNA from 1 species
AAGGUUUUAAGUUAAACAAAACUAAUAGCCUUCAAAGCUGAAAAUAAAUUAUAUUAUUUAAACCUUA